rnacentral:rRNA from 1 species
UACAGAGGGGGCAAGCGUUGUUCGGAAUUACUGGGCGUAAAGGGCGCGUAGGCGGCCCGCUAAGUCGAACGUGAAAUCCCCAGGCUCAACCUGGGAACUGCGUCCGAUACUGGCAGGCUUGAAUCCGGGAGAGGGAUGUGGAAUUCCAGGUGUAGCGGUGAAAUGCGUAGAUAUCUGGAGGAACACCGGUGGCGAAGGCGGCAUCCUGGACCGACACUGACGCUGAGGCGCGAAAGCCAGGGGAGCCAAAGCGGG